UUCUUCCCCUUUUUUUUUUUUUGCUUUGAUACUUAUAUCUCUUUCUCUGUCUUGUAGGUGAGUUGGAAUUAAUUAUGAAGCUAUGUCUACAAGGAUUUUGCAGAUCGUUUUAGGCACUGGGAUUGAUGUGUUGGAUCUUAUCUACUCGUAUACCAUAUUUUCAGUCUCUUAGGUUAAGGUGGUAAGCUUAAGUGUGAGGUCCUUUGGUGCACAAGGCUGGUCACGUGGUGUAUUCAUGUUUGCGUUCCUCUUUCCCUUUCUUAUAUGAUAGCUAUAUAAUGGCCUCAUUAACUAGAAUUUUCAGUUUUGCCUUUAUGAGUUUUGGACUGCGCAUUGAAGGUCUUUUUAACAUGUUUUUGGUCUUUUUGUUUUGAAAUUUCAGGUUUCAAAUACUAUCACAGUCUUCAGGGGUUUUGUUCUUCCUCUUAACACUUCUUUUUCUUCUUUUUUUUUUUUUUUUUUUGCUUCGAUUCUUACAUUUGUUUCUUUGUCUUGCAGGUUUUUUGGAAGCAAUUAUGAAGUUAUGUCUUCAAGGGUUUUGUUUUCUUCCUCCUAACACUUCUUUCUUUUUUUGCUUUGAUACUUACAUUUCUUUCUUUGUCUUGCAGGUGAUUUGGAAGCAAUUAUGAAGCUAUAUAUGUCUUCAGGGGUGAUUUGGAAGUAAUUAUGAAACUAUCUCUACAAGAUUGUCCUAGGCAUUGGGAUUGCUUUAUUGGAUCUUAUCUACUCGUAUACCAUAUGUUCAGGUUAAGGUGGUAAGCUUAAGUCUGAGUUUCUCUGAUGCGCAAGGCUGGACAUGUGGUUUAUUCAGGUUUUUUGGAAGCAAUUAUGAAGCUAUGUCAAGGGUUUUUUGGAAGCAAUUAGGAAGCUAUUUCUUCAAGGGUGAUUUGGAAGUAAUUAUGAAUCUAUCUCUACAAGGGUUUUGCAGAUUGUCCUAGGCAUUGGGAUUGCUUUAUUGGAUCUUAUCUACUCGUAUACCAUAUGUUCAGUCUCUUAGGUUAAGGUGGUAAGCUUAAGUCUGAGUUUCUCUGAUGCGCAAGGCUGGACUUGUGGUUUAUUCAGAUCUUAGAAACUAAAGGCAAUGUGGGAGGGAAGGAUGGCUUGAGUACAAUUUCGUAAUUGUGGUUACUUCGCAUCUAUUCACCUUUUUUUGGCUAUUGUUGGUUGGGUAUGAUCUGUUUUGUGUGUCUUAUUGUGUGUUUCAGAUUUUCUACUUCAAGCACUUCUCUCUGUUUCUGUGUUGUCUACACAUGUGAUCUUAAACUCCCUUCCAAACGAGUUUGUUCUUAUACUUUGUCCUUUGUAAGCAUAUAUAUCUAUAUAUGUGUUUUUGUAUUGGAUGUCUUUAUGUCUGUUAGGUUUGCUAAGUCUGCGCUCUCUGAUGCAUAAGGUCAUGUGGUCUUUUCAGGUUUUUUGUUCCUCUUUCCCUUGGCUAUCUUUAUCUUUGUUUCCAUAGAUCUUCUAUUGAAUGUUUCAGGUUACCAGUAAUGUCUGCUGAUUUUCCUAAUGAUGUUGGCAUUUAUGUUUUAAUGCCUAAGAGUCUACGGUCUUGUCUUUUGUUAUAGGUCAUGGUCACUAACCGGUCAAAAGAGAAAAACGUGAGGUUAGUGUUUUCUUUCCCCUUUAUCUCUGUUGGUCUUAUACCUAUAAAGAAGGGGAGUUUUUCACAUUUAAAAACUGUCACAAGCAUAUUAGAGUAUGAUCAAACUGGUAUCUUUCCCCAAUACCUCUGUUGGUGUUUCUCUCAUGCUACAUCCAUUCCUAGUAUUGAUCUUUACUCAUAUGCUUGUGACGAUGACUUGUCUUUUUUUCUUUACUCAUGUUAUUGGAUGUUCCAGGUUCAUAUAUAGUAAAAUGUUUGUCUUCCUAGUGAAGCUAACUGGCCUCUUUUCUUUACUAGUUUCCUGAGUAAAAGCAUCGGUUACUAACUGAUCCCUUUCCCUUUUUCUCUGUUUCUCUCUUGCUGAAUCUAUAUUACUAUUGUUUGAUCCUACUCAUAUGCUUGUGAAAAUGGAUUGGUUUUUAUGUGACGUGCUUCUCUUCUUUAAGGGUAGAAUAAAUUUUCAUCUACCAUUUUCUAUGUUACCUCCUUGGUGGUUUCUUCUCUUUUUCUUCUUCCUUUCUCUUUUUGACUGUCUUUCAGAUUUCAUGAUCUGCAUUUUCUAUGGUUUAAAUGCUAAUCACUUCUGUUUGGGAUGGUGUUUUCCUUUGUAGGAAUUUGGAUGAUGCAAGUAGAAGUUCUGUUUGGAACUUUUUUUGCCUAGUGAUUCUUAGAUUUUAGCUCCCAUAUUUGGUUGAUUCAGGUGUCAUGAGCUUCUUUUUCAUGGGGUUUGUUUUCUUGUUUUUUGUUGUUGUUGUGUGGUUUCUAGUUGUUACCCCUUUCUAUUUGUGAAUUACUUCAAGAGAAGUAAGCUUUUGAGUUCCUCACUGGUUACUUGAAGGAGUGAUCUCAUAGGUAUGUUUCCUUUUUCUUGUUAUCUCUCCUCUGUAUGUCUUAUUGUAUUAUUUUCCAGGAAAAUGCUGGAAGAUGAUCAUAACUUCCUUUUAAAUGGGAUUGUACAUUUUUAAGGUAGAGCAUCUCUGCUUGCCAUAUUGUUAUUCAGAACAUUAUUUUGAAGUGUUUUUUCGCUCCCUGAGUUUUGGACUAUGACAGUGUGGAGUUUCACAUGAUUGGAACUUGCAUGUCAUUGGAAGUUUCCUCAUCCACUAAGUGCAAUUCGCAUUUCUGCUUAUGUCUGGUUUUUUCGUUAAGUCUUUAACAUAGGUCUUUCAUGUUACUACUUGGUCUCUUCCUUGUUUGUCCAUUUUGGUGUGCUACAUCUACUUGGUCUCUUUAUGGUAGCUUCUCUAUUUCUGAAUGUUAUAGGUAUAUUUCGAUGGCAGUAUUAUUAUUAUUAUUAUUUUUAAUUCAUGUGGUGUUUUAUGCCUUUUUGUGUUUUGGUUAUUCAUUAUAAUUGAUGGAGAUGAGAUCAGCUUUUCCUUCCCAUUAUCUGCUUGUGCCUGUCUGACUUUGCAGUAUGCAAUCUUUUAUAUAGUUGAUGCUAAUUGCUUCUGUUUGAGAUGAAGUCAUUAACGUUGCAUAGGAGUUUGAUGUUGCAAAGUGGAAGUUCUAUUUCGGCCUGAUGGCCGACACUUCCUUGUAUCUGUACAUCAUGAGUUAUUUCGAUAUAUAGACAUUUAAACCCCUUGAGUUUAGAGACUGAGUCGGUUACUGUAAUCAACUAGAGUAGACACAGUCAAAGCAUAAACAAAGAAGAAAUGGUGGGAACCCAUCAAUUAGUGUGGAGAUGGGAAGCUCCAACUUCAUUCUCUGAAAGCUUGAAACUCAAUUUUUGUGCUUUUUAUGAAAUCUACACCAACUAUUGCAAACAGUGGCCUUGAACCUCCACGACCUAGCAAAAAAAAUGAUAGCUCCAAAGAAAACACAUUAGCUGAUAUAAGAACAGAAAAGAGAUCAAAGGCGUCCUUCAAGAUAAGCUGAGAACAGAACAUGAAAAGUAAGAAGAAGAUCAAAGGCGUCCUUCAACAUAAACUGAGAACAGAAUGGAGAAAGAUGAUAGUAAGAAGAUGUACCACCGAAGAAACGAUCUGCAUCAUACAUUUAAUAUUUUCAGACUUAAAGCGUAUCACCUAAGAAACUUAUAUAAGAAAAAGUCAUUAAAUACAAAAA